rnacentral:rRNA from 1 species
CCUACGGGAGGCAGCAGUGGGGAAUUUUGGACAAUGGGCGCAAGCCUGAUCCAGCCAUGCCGCGUGCAGGAUGAAGGCCUUCGGGUUGUAAACUGCUUUUGUACGGAACGAAGAGACUCUGGUUAAUACCUGGGGUCCAUGACGGUACCGUAAGAAUAAGCACCGGCUAACUACGUGCCAGCAGCCGCGGUAAU